rnacentral:rRNA from 1 species
UACGUAGGGUGCGAGCGUUGUCCGGAAUUAUUGGGCGUAAAGAGCUUGUAGGCGGUUUGUCGCGUCUGCUGUGAAAAUCCGGGGCUCAACCCCGGACUUGCAGUGGGUACGGGCAGACUAGAGUGUGGUAGGGGAGACUGGAAUUCCUGGUGUAGCGGUGAAAUGCGCAGAUAUCAGGAGGAACACCGGUGGCGAAGGCGGGUCUCUGGGCCGAAACUGACGCUGAGGAGCGAAAGCGUGGGGAGCAAACAGG